rfam:Spinacia oleracea cultivar SynViroflay scaffold17971.con0005.1, whole genome shotgun sequence.
GUAACGGUUUUUUUAAAAACCGUAAUUUAUUCAAAAAAAAGUAAUG